CUUAUGAUGGCGACCGGCGCACGGGUGCGUAACGCGUAUGCAACCUACCUUUUACAGGGGCAUAACACUGAGAAAUUGGUACUAAUUCCCCAUAAUAUCUGAGACGGCAUUCGUUUUGGGUUGAAAACUCCGGUGGUAAAAGAUGGGCAUGCGUUGUAUUAGCUAGUUGGUGAGGUAACGGCUCACCAAGGCGACGAUACAUAGGGGGACUGAGAGGUUAACCCCCCACAUUGGUACUGAGACACGGACCAAACUCCUACGGAAGGCAGCAG
rnacentral:rRNA from 1 species